GACGAACGCUGGCGGCGUGCUUAACACAUGCAAGUCGAACGGAAAGGCCCUGCUUUUGUGGGGUGCUCGAGUGGCGAACGGGUGAGUAGCACGUGAGUAACCUGCCCUUGACUUUGGGAUAACUUCAGGAAACUGGGGCUAAUACCGGAUAGGAGCUCCUGCUGCAUGGUGGGGGUUGGAAAGUUUCGGCGGUUGGGGAUGGACUCGCGGCUUAUUAGCUUGUUGGUGGGGUAGUGGCUUACCAAGGCUUUGACGGGUAGCCGGCCUGAGAGGGUGACCGGCCACAUUGGGACUGAGAUACGGCCCAGACUCCUACGGGAGGCAGCAGUGGGGAAUAUUGCACAAUGGGCGGAAGCCUGAUGCAGCAACGCCGCGUGCGGGAUGACGGCCUUCGGGUUGUAAACCGCUUUCGCCUGUGACGAAGCGUGAGUGACGGUAAUGGGUAAAGAAGCACCGGCUAACUACGUG
rnacentral:rRNA from 1 species